rnacentral:rRNA from 1 species
AAUCAACGCUGGCGGCGUGCCUAACACAUGCAAGUCGCACGAGAAAGGGCUUUCGGGCCUGAGUAAAGUGGCGCACGGGUGAGUAACACGUGACUUAUCUACCCCCGAGUGGGGAAUAACCUAGGGAAACCUGGGCUAAUACCGCAUAACACUUACGAGUCAAAGCAGCAAUGCGCUUGGGGAGGAGGUCGCGGGAGCUUAGCUAGUUGGUGGGGUAAAGGCCUACCAAGGCGAUGAUCUGUAUCCGGCCUGAGAGGGCGCACGGACACACUGGAACUGAAACACGGUCCAGACUCCUACGGGAGGCAGCAGUGGGGAAUUUUGCGCAAUGGGGGAAACCCUGACGCAGCAACGCCGCGUGGAGGAUGAAGUCUCUUGGGACGUAAACUCCUUUCGACAGGGACGAUAAUGACGGUACCUGUAGAAGAAGCCCCGGCUAACUUCGUGCCAGCAGCCGCGGUAACAC